GCCCGCGGAUGUCGGCUAGAAGACGGGCCGCCCCGUAAGCGGCAGGCCGGGGUGCGAAUCCCCGCGCGGGCU
rnacentral:tRNA from 1 species